rnacentral:rRNA from 1 species
GACGAAGGUGGCGAGCGUUGUUCGGAAUCAUUGGGCUUAAAGCGCACGUAGGCGGGCCAUCAAGUGUCUUGUGAAAUCCCUCGGCUCAACCGAGGAAUUGCUGGGCAUACUGACGGUCUUGAGGCAGGUAUGGGCGAGUGGAACUCUUGGUGGAGCGGUGGAAUGCGUAGAUAUCAAGAGGAACGCCGGUGGUGAAGACGACUCGCUGGGCCUGUCCUGACGCUGAGGUGCGAAAGCCAGGGGAGCAAACGGG